UACGAGGGGUGCAAGCGUUGCUCGGAAUUAUUGGGCGUAAAGGGUAGGUAGGUGGUCUCAUUUGUCUGGGGUGAAAGCCUUGAGCUUAACUCAAGAAGUGCCCUAGAAACGGUGAGACUAGAGUCCUGGAGAGGGUCGUGGAAUUCCCGGUGUAGCGGUGAACUGCGUAGAGAUCGGGAGGAACACCAGAGGCGAAGGCGGCGACCUGGACAGGUACUGACACUCAACUACGAAAGCGUGGGGAGCAAACAGG
rnacentral:rRNA from 1 species